AUUGAACGCUGGCGGCAGGCCUAACACAUGCAAGUCGAGCGAGCGGCGGACGGGUGAGUAAUGUAUGGGGACUGCCCGAUAGAGGGGGAUAACUACUGGAAACGGUAGCUAAUACCGCACACAAUCUGAUUACCGCUAUGGGAUUAGCUAGUAGGUGAGGUAAUGGCGCACCUAGGUGACGAACCCUAGCUGGUCUGAGAGGAUGAUCAGCCACACUGGGACUGAGACACGGCCCAGACUCCUACGGAGGCAGCAGUGGGGAAUAUUGCACAAUGGGCGCAAGCCUGAUGCAGCCAUGCCGCGUGUAUGAAGAAGGCCCUAGGGUUGUAAAGUACUUUCAGUCGGGAGGCGUUACCGACAGAAGAAGCCCCGGCUAACUCCGUGCCAGCAGCCGCGGUAAUAC
rnacentral:rRNA from 1 species